UCGUGAGAUGUUGGGUUAAGUCCCGUAACGAGCGCAACCCUUGUCCUUAGUUACCAGCCCGUUAUGGUGGGCACUUUAAGGAGACUGCCGGUGACAAACCGGAGGAAGGUGGGGAUGACGUCAAGUCAUCAUGGCCCUUACGGCCAGGGCUACACACGUGCUACAAUGGUCGGUACAGAGGGUUGCCAAGCCGCGAGGUGGAGCUAAUCCCAGAAAACCGAUCGUAGUCCGGAUCGCAGUCUGCAACUCGACUGCGUGAAGUCGGAAUCGCUAGUAAUCGUGAAUCAGAAUGUCACGGUGAAUACGUUCCCGGGCCUUGUACACACCGCCCGUCACACCAUGGGAGUGGGUUGCUCCAGAAGUAGCUAGUCUAACCGCAAGGGGGACGGUUACCACGGAGUGGUUGAUGACUGGGGUG
rnacentral:rRNA from 1 species